rnacentral:lncRNA from 1 species
CUGUUGGCAUAGUUCAACAAAACAACUAUUACUGGUACCGUCAAAGAGUGAAACCAGUUUCAGCCCCCCCCCCCCCCACCAGGGUUACCUCUGGCCAGCUGCCAUGAAAAACAGCACACCUGUUAUUCUCUUGCUGGCUACAGCUGGGGCCAUGCAGAAAAUGGAAAUGGAUGCAACCUUCUUUUUGUGUGUGUGACCUCAGGAUGCCCAGCUGAAACUUUGGUUACACUUGAGAAAACAACAGCUGUGGAUGAAAACCAAGAUGAAGACCCACUGGAAGACCCAAAUCUUCAGUGGGAUAUUGAGGAAUUCAAGAGCUUCAGGAGCUCAGCCAGAACAGUAAAUAAGACAAACUCCCUGCCAUCAAGGAGCUCACAGUCUAGUUACGGAAACCACCAUAGAAACACGCGCGUACAGCGUGACAUUUCCAGCGCGGAGGGAGCAGAAGGUAUGUAUUACAUUUCUUUUGUAUACCCUUCAAACGAGCAAUUAAAAUAAAUCUUUCCCGGCGACCCUGUGAGAGGAGGCACUUCGGUAGUUCUGUGCGGGAGGAACAUUGCAAGGUUGAAAGUUCCCCCAAGCAGCUGUGUACAACACCACAGUUUGAGGAGCCCGGGGAGGGGGCAGGGUCUCACUGGUCACAAUCAUGGCUGGAGAUUAUUUGCAGUCAACUGCCCUAGAGGUAAUGGGGUUUGGAACUACUUUGGCGAUUCGGUAAAAAAAAAAGAAAGAAAACGGAGAGGGGGGGUUCAGCUUACCCAGGAGCCCCCACCACUUGCUGAUUGGACCCACUUAGCAUCUGCAGGGAGGACAACAAUGAAAUGAAAAACAUUUCCAGGGGUGAACCCCACGGGUCAAUCUCCGGCUGUGCGGGACAAUGGGGGGUCUGGCCUCCUCUUCUCUUCCAAAAGGAUGAAGGAGUCUUAAUGAAGAGACAUUUUCUCCGCGAAGAUUCUAAACCCCAGCGGGUUCCACUAACUCCAGAGCAGCGAAGCCACCGGCAGAGGCCGGGGGGGAGGGGUGUCGCUAUGUGAAUCGCCUCUCUGAGACUCGGGCCCUGAGGGAGAGCCGCGUCCCUGCGCCCCUCCGCCCGCUGCGCGCGACCCCGGGC